rnacentral:misc_RNA from 1 species
CAGAGUUGCAAAACUCCCAACCCUUUGUGAACGAACCUACCAGUUGCUUCGGCGGAAGGCCCUUCAGGGGCGGCCCGCCGAAGGAUACAAACUCUUGAUUUUUUGGCAUCUCUGAGUAGCUUAUAAAAUAAGUUA